rnacentral:lncRNA from 1 species
CUCAACCACUCUUGCUUUGCAUUUGAGAAUUUAAGUCACUUGACCAAAGUCAGACAACAGUGAUUAUAUAACUACAGUGAUUCUGGAGUGUUCUCAACAAAUAAUAACCUCAGAAACAAGUAGGCACUUGGAGACAUUGUGCUGUGGAUUCAGGUUGCCUAGGUUUGAAUCCUAGUCCCAACAUUUACUAAGGCUCUCUGAUAGUGGGCACAUUAUUUAACUUCCUCAGACCUGUUUCCCCAUCUACAAAAUUGGAUUACCUGUGCUCCAAGGUUUGUGAUCUAGAAUUCAAUUAAUAAAUUCAGGCAAAUUAUUCCAAUUAUAUUAAGCACUAGUUCUCAAAGCUGACAUUUGAGGCUCAAAUGGAGUGUCUUCUUAGCUUUUGUCUCCUGUCAUUUCAGCCCUAAGCCGAAAUCCAAAAAUAAUGGGAAAAUUCUAUGCCCUGAUAUAACACAGAAUUAUAAAGGAAGCUACAAUAUCCCAUACUCCUUGCUUCAUACUCUAGAAUCCAUUUAAAUGAGGUUUAAAAUUGUUCCGGUUGAGUCAUUCCUUCCAGUCAAGGCAUAGUCUAUCUGAAGGACUCAAAUUAAUUAGCUACAGUUAACAGAUUAUUAAGUCAACUGGCUUCUAAGGAGAUGGUGAGAGAGGCCAUGUGGGUACACCAUGAGAAGUCUGUCAUCUACAGGAAAGGAAGAGAGCCCUCACAGAAAACUGACUUUGCCAGACCUUGACCUGGAAUAUCUAUUCUCCAGAACUGGCUCCUUCUUCAUAGGCUGGGGGUGUAUACAAAGAGGAUAAUGGCAUUAAACCAGCAAGGAAGUGUUGCUCUCCAGGAUAGAAUGUACGAUUAGUAGAUGAGAAACUGAGACUCAUGGAGCCUCAACAUGAAGAUGAUGAAAAUGGAGACCUUCAUCGUGAUCCACUUCUAAUUAAUGAAUAGGAGGCUUGGGCCGAACUGGGUGAUCAGACAUCAUACACAGAGAAGGAGCAAGAGAGAGAUUACACAGAGGAGGAACAAGGUGUGCAGCGGACAGCCAGUGCCAAGACCUCAGACAC